AUACGGAGGGCGCAAGCGUUAAUCGGAAUCACUGGGCGUAAGGCGCACGUAGGCGGCGAGAUAAGUCGGGCGUGAAAGCCCUCGGCCCAACCGAGGAAUUGCGUUCGAUACUGUUUGGCUUGAGUCCUGGAGAGGGUGGCGGAAUUCCGGGUGUAGGAGUGAAAUCCGUAGAUAUCCGGAGGAACACCGGUGGCGAAGGCGGCCACCUGGACAGGUACUGACGCUGAGGCGCGAAAGCGUGGGGAGC
rnacentral:rRNA from 1 species